rnacentral:rRNA from 1 species
UACGAAGGGUGCAAGCGUUACUCGGAAUUACUGGGCGUAAAGCGUGCGUAGGCGGUUCGGUAAGUCGGGUGUGAAACCUCCAGGCUCAACCUGGUGACGCCACCCGAUACUGCCGUGACUUGAGUUCGGUAGGGGGAGCGGGGAAUUCCUGGUGUAGCGGUGAAAUGCGCAGAUAUCAGGAGGAACACCGGUGGCGAAGGCGCCGCUCUGGGCCAAAACUGACGCUGAGGAGCGAAAAGCGUGGGGAGCGAACAGG